rnacentral:sRNA from 1 species
CUAAAAGUCCUGGAGAGUGAAGUCCGAUUUAGCCACAAAAUAGGUCAAUACAUGCAGUAGUGGUGUAGGUUUCCUCACACUGUCCUGCCAAUGUGCGUCAACCCUACCCUCAGUCAACACCUUUAGGGAACAGAAAGUACUUCACCCUUAGGAUAAAUUGUGCUUCCCCCUCC